rnacentral:tRNA from 1 species
GUGGCUUAGUGGUAGAGCAUCUGCUUGGCAUGCGGACACUCCCAGGUUCGAUUCCAGGCAUCUCCA